rnacentral:rRNA from 1 species
ACAGUGGACGCGAGCAUCUGUGGCCAAGUUUUUAAGGGCGCACGGUGGAUGCCUUGGCACCAGGAACCGAUGAAGGACGUGGGAGGCCACGAUAGUCCCCGGGGAGCCGUCAACCAGGCUUUGAUCCGGGGGUUUCCGAAUGGGGAAACCCGGCAGUCGUCAUGGGCUGUCACCCAUACCUGAACACAUAGGGUAUGUGGAGGGAACGCGGGGAAGUGAAACAUCUCAGUACCCGCAGGAAGAGAAAACAACCGUGAUUCCGGGAGUAGUGGCGAGCGAAACUGGAUGAGGCCAAACCAUAUGCGUGUGAUACCCGGCAGGGGUUGCGCAUGUGGGGUUGUGGGAUCUCUCUUUCACAGUCUGCCGGCUGUGAGACGAGUCAGAAACCGUUGAUGUAGGCGAAGGACAUGCGAAAGGUCCGGCGUAGAGGGUAAGACCCCCGUAGUCGAAACAUCAGCGGCUCGUUUGAGAGACACCCAAGUAGCACGGGGCCCGAGAAAUCCCGUGUGAAUCUGGCGGGACCACCCGCUAAGCCUAAAUAUUCCCUGGUGACCGAUAGCGGAUAGUACCGUGAGGGAAUGGUGAAAAGUACCGCGGGAGCGGAGUGAAAUAGUACCUGAAACCGUGUGCCUACAAGCCGUGGGAGCGUCGCUGUAUGUGCUUGCACAUACAGUCGUGACUGCGUGCCUUUUGAAGAAUGAGCCUGCGAGUUUGCGGUGCGUUGCGAGGUUAACCCGUGUGGGGAAGCCGUAGCGAAAGCGAGUCCGAAUAGGGCGAUUCAGUAGCGCGCUCAAGACCCGAAGCGGAGUGAUCUAGCCAUGGGCAGGUUGAAGCGGAGGUAAGACUUCGUGGAGGACCGAACCCACCAGGGUUGAAAACCUGGGGGAUGACCUGUGGUUAGGGGUGAAAGGCCAAUCAAACUCCGUGAUAGCUGGUUCUCCCCGAAAUGCAUUUAGGUGCAGCGUCGUGUGUUUCUUGCCGGAGGUAGAGCACUGGAUAGGCGAUGGGCCCUACCGGGUUACUGACCUUAGCCAAACUCCGAAUGCCGGUAAGUGAGAGCACGGCAGUGAGACUGUGGGGGAUAAGCUCCAUGGUCGAGAGGGAAACAGCCCAGAGCAUCGACUAAGGCCCCUAAGCGUACGCUAAGUGGGAAAGGAUGUGGAGUCGCACAGACAACCAGGAGGUUGGCUUAGAAGCAGCCACCCUUGAAAGAGUGCGUAAUAGCUCACUGGUCUAGUGAUUCCGCGCCGACAAUGUAGCGGGGCUCAAGCGUACCGCCGAAGUCGUGUCAUUCCAGCAUGUAGGGCCAACGCCCGCUGGAUGGGUAGGGGAGCGUCGUGUGCCGGGUGAAGCAGCCGCGGAAGCGAGUUGUGGACGGUUCACGAGUGAGAAUGCAGGCAU